rnacentral:tmRNA from 2 species
GUCGGGCAACCGACUAUGGCGAUAAACGAUGCGUGGAAUAAGCGUAGUGGACCCGGGGGCAGUACCCGGCGCCUCCACCA